CUCUCUCUGUGUGUGUGUGUGUGUGUGUGUGUGUGUGUGUGUGUGUGUGUCACUAUGCAGCCCAGUCUGGCCUUAAACCACAAUCUGCCUGCUUUAGUCUCCCCAUGCUGGGAUCUAAGGCUACCCCAAGUACUUGAUAGAUUUAAAUUAGGCUAAUCCAUAAACAUGUCCCACUUCUCAGGCAAAAGCACUGUGGGGCUCUUGGUGAGUGCCAGAUAGGCUUAACUAGCGCACAGUCAGCGUGGGGCGGAACUGAAGACCUGGGAGAAUCACCCAGGCCUUAUGCCUUGUGGUUAAUAAUGGAUCCUGUGGCUUUAAUUUCUCCAAACAAAUGCUUUUCAUUUUCAUGGAGUUGAUGCACCUGGUGGGUUAGGUGGAGGCUUCGAGGUUGCUCAGUGCCAGAUUUCAACAAGGAGUCACUUCUUGGGACACAGGUAUGCCAAAGCCACUGUGACACAGGUAUAUUAUAGGCUGCUGACACACAGGUAUUAUGGGGCUGUUGUGACACAUGUUGUGUUAUAGAGCUACUGCCACACAGGUGUGUUAUAGGGCUACUGUCACACAGGUAUGUUAAACAUAGGACUGCUGUCACACAGAUGUGUUAUAGAACUGCUGUCACACAGGUGUGUUAUAGAAGUGCUGUGACACAGGUGUGUUCCAGGGCUGUUGUGACACAGGUAUGUUAUAGGGCUGCUGUGACACAGGUGUGUUCCAGGGCUGCUGUGACACAGGUAUGUUACAGGGCUGCUGUGACACAGGUAUGUUCCAGGGCUGCUGUGACACAGGUAUGUUACAGGGCUGCUGUCACACAGGUGUGUUACAGGGUUGUUGUCACACAGGUGUGUUACAGGGUUGUUGUCACACAGGUAUGUUACAGGACUGCUGUGACACAGGCGUGUUACAGGGUUGUUGUCACACAGGUAUGUUACAGGACUGCUGUGACACAGGUGUGUUACAGGGUUGCUGUCACACAGAUGUGUUACAGAGCUGCUGUGACACAAGUGUGUUACAGGGUUGUUGUCACACAGGUAUGUUACAGGGCUGCUGUGACACAGGUGUGUUACAGGGUUGUUGUCACACAGGUGUGUUACAGGGCUGCUGUGACACAGGUGUGUUACAGGGUUGUUGUCACACAGGUGUACUGACUUAGAGUGCUAUAUUGGAGCAUCAAGACCCAGGCUGGCUGCAUCAGGCUGAAUGGCUUAGAAAUUUGGAGUAGAGGUCUUCAAGCAGAGACUGACAUGGAGAUGAACAACCUGAAACUUCCUGAAGGACUGUGAGUGACACCUAUUACGACGUCAUGAGCAGACAAGGCAACCUCAUCAGGACACACUAACAGAAACUCGAGGCAGAGAGCCGUGGUCAACUGUGGAGGACACAGCGACCUGGCUCUGGAGCAUGGAACCUCAGACAACAUACUGUCAAGUGAGAAACAGACAACAGACAACUUCAACUCUCACACAUGAGCACACAUUUUCACUUGCUCACCAAACGUAUUGACCACUCCGCCAAACAGGUAAGCUGCUCCUUCCUUGAGGUGAGCAGAGUCCCUUGGACAGCAUCACUGGAGAGCUGUGAGCAUCCAUAAGGCCCUCCCAUCUUGGCAACAGAGGCAAGGGCUAGACACGCCACCCCCUCCUCUCGAGCGUGAACGGCUGCCCUCGAAGUGUGUUGACCUGCCUCCUCCCUGGCCUCUUGAGGACCCUACCUCUUCUGAGAGCCACAGGCCAUUGCACAAUAAACCUUUAUCAAUAUGACUCCAAUAAAUGUUUCAGCUCGCAUAUAAAUUCCAGCCCCCGCCGCACAGUGGAGGAGACCUGCUCAAUGCUCAGCCCAUAAAGAAGUAAUAAUGCAGUUAAAAGGUGGGGCCCGUCACCCUCGUAAAGCCGGGGAUCGAUGCAGGGGAGCUGAGGACAGCAGGCAGCGGAAACUGCUUGCCUUGCUACAGCAGAAACAGAGGACACCGGAGUGAGCUGAGGAUCCAGGAAGGUGGUUCUCGGGUCUAGGGGAGGAGGCCCUGGCUGAGGGACCGUGGUUCUCGAGUUUCAGUGAACCACAUGGCAAGGAAUCUACAUUCUGUCCAGGCACAGUCAGGCCUCCAUUAGGUCCUUUCAAUUCAGUAAGCCUCAGUCUUCUUCCCAGGAAAAUGGGCAAUGGAUUCUUGGUUCAGAAAGUGAAGAAACAUGACUCUGAUAUUCGAGGGGGCCGAGGUCCCAAGGCAACCCAGGAUGGACAUCUGUGCACCGAUAGAAGGAGGAGGUAUCCCUGGAGGGCAAUAGGGAGUUGUGGGAAAGAACAAAAACAGGCUCCU